ensembl:rRNA 5S_rRNA 5S ribosomal RNA
GUCUACGGUCAAACCACCCUGAAUGCACCUGCUCUCCUCUGCUCUCAGAAGCUAAGCAGGGUUGGGCCUGGUUAGUACUUGGAUGGGAGACCAUCUAAGAAUACCAGGUGCUGUAGACU